rnacentral:rRNA from 1 species
AUUGAACGCUGGCGGCAGGCCUAACACAUGCAAGUCGAGCGAGCGGCGGACGGGUGAGUAAUGUCUGGGAAACAGCCCGAUGGAGAGGGAUAACAACAGGAAACGGUAGAUAAUACCGCAUAACAUCAGAUGUGACCAGAUGGGAUUAGCUAGUAGGUGGGGUAAUGGCUCACCUAGGCGACGAUCCCUAGCGUGUCUGAGAGGAUGACCAGCCACCCUGUAACUGAGACCCGUUCCAGACUCCUACGGGAGGCAGCAGUGGGGAAUAUUGCACAAUGGGCGCAAGCCUGCUGCAGCCAUGCCGCGUGUGUGAAGAAGGCCUUCGGGUUGUAAAGCACUUUCAGCGGGGAGGCGUUACCCGCAGAAGAAGCACCGGCUAACUCCGUGCCAGCAGCCGCGGUAAUUC